rnacentral:rRNA from 1 species
CAGGCCUAACACAUGCAAGUCGAACGAUGCCUUUCGGGGUCUAGUGGCGCACGGGUGCGUAACGCGUGGGAAUCUGCCCUUGGGUUCGGAAUAACAGCGAGAAAUUGCUGCUAAUACCGGAUAAUGACGUAAGUCCAAAGAUUUAUCGCCCAGGGAUGAGCCCGCGUAGGAUUAGCUAGUUGGUGGGGUAAAGGCCUACCAAGGCGACGAUCCUUAGCUGGUCUGAGAGGAUGAUCAGCCACACUGGGACUGAGACACGGCCCAGACUCCUACGGGAGGCAGCAGUGGGGAAUAUUGGACAAUGGGCGAAAGCCUGAUCCAGCCAUGCCGCGUGAGUGAUGAAGGCCUUAGGGUUGUAAAGCUCUUUCAGUGGGGAAGAUAAUGACGGUAUCCACAGAAGAAGCCCCGGCUAACUUGGUGCCAGCAGCCGCGGUAAU